rnacentral:lncRNA from 1 species
GCCUUGUUUCUGUGCCAAGAAUUUGCCACAUGCUGCAUGCAACUGGUUUUCUCCUACACCGAUAUGUUUAUCUUGAUUUAUUUCCAAAUAUUAGCUGGAUUAUAUUACCUUUGCAGCUGGUGAAGUUAUGGUUAAUUAACAGGUUUGCUUCGCCAUCGCAACUUGCACGGGAAUUCCCGAAGUUAUUAUUCUUUUGAAGAAAAUCCUGGAAGCUUUUCAUUAUACACAUUGAGCAAUCAAAAGGAUUACCGCCUAUAGAC